GACACGGUCCAAACUCCUACGGGAGGCAGCAGUGAGGAAUAUUGGUCAAUGGGCGAGAGCCUGAACCAGCCAAGUAGCGUGAAGGAUGACUGCCCUAUGGGUUGUAAACUUCUUUUAUAAAGGAAUAAAGUCGGGUAUGGAUACCCGUUUGCAUGUACUUUAUGAAUAAGGAUCGGCUAACUCCGUGCCAGCAGCCGCGGUAAUACGGAGGAUCCGAGCGUUAUCCGGAUUUAUUGGGUUUAAAGGGAGCGUAGGCGGGUUGUUAAGUCAGUUGUGAAAGUUUGCGGCUCAACCGUAAAAUUGCAGUUGAUACUGGCGACCUUGAGUGCAACAGAGGUAGGCGGAAUUCGUGGUGUAGCGGUGAAAUGCUUAGAUAUCACGAAGAACUCCGAUUGCGAAGGCAGCUUACUGGAUUGUAACUGACGCUGAUGCUCGAAAGUGUGGGUAUCAAACAGGAUUAGAUACCCUGGUAGUCCACACAGUAAACGAUGAAUACUCGCUGUUGGCGAUAUACGGUCAGCGGCCAAGCGAAAGCAUUAAGUAUUCCACCUGGGGAGUACGCCGGCAACGGUGAAACUCAAAGGAAUUGACGGGGGCCCGCACAAGCGGAGGAACAUGUGGUUUAAUUCGAUGAUACGCGAGGAACCUUACCCGGGCUUAAAUUGCAGAUGAAUUACGGUGAAAGCCGUAAGCCGCAAGGCAUCUGUGAAGGUGCUGCAUGGUUGUCGUCAGCUCGUGCCGUGAGGUGUCGGCUUAAGUGCCAUAACGAGCGCAACCCUUGUUGUCAGUUACUAACAGGUUUUGCUGAGGACUCUGACAAGACUGCCAUCGUAAGAUGUGAGGAAGGUGGGGAUGACGUCAAAUCAGCACGGCCCUUACGUCCGGGGCUACACACGUGUUACAAUGGGGGGUACAGAAGGCAGCUACACGGCGACGUGGUGCUAAUCCCUAAAGCCUCUCUCAGUUCGGAUUGGAGUCUGCAACCCGACUCCAUGAAGCUGGAUUCGCUAGUAAUCGCGCAUCAGCC
rnacentral:rRNA from 1 species